rnacentral:lncRNA from 1 species
AAGCUACAGUCAUGAAACAAAGAAAGGGAAAUGUUGUUUUGUUCCUGUCUAAUUCUUUCUUGUAAAGUCAAUCAGGCUACUGAUCUGCAAUCUGCAGCAAGCACCGAGCAAGCAGCUCUCUGCUGGCAGAAAACCUCAGAGAGUUGCAAAGAGAUUUGAGUGGUCACAUUAAGAGAAUUUCACCCAAAAAGAAUUAGAUUACGGUUCACCAGCUCCUCCCUUGUGUUGGCUACACAAUCAAUGGAUUCCCUCUUCAAACAAAUAUAAGAAAUCUUUCGAUACCUCCUCACCUCUGGAUUUGUCUUGGCUAUCUUUGCGUCUUUCUCCUGGCAUGAUGAAUUGGC